rnacentral:sRNA from 1 species
UGGAACACUCUCUUAUAAAGACUGGGCUGUAUCUCAACAUUGGAAAGGUAUGGGACCAUGUAAAAUUUCUCCUGUUCAUGAUGCUAUGUCACAUGGUGUUGCCAUGAUCAAGGUCCUGUUUGGCAACCACACUGUUGAUGUUUCAUGGACAUAUCUUCAUUUUCAUAUCUAGAUGACUCUAUCUGGAGGAGAAUAUGCAUCCUGAAAGUCCUGUGCCUACAUCAGCAAGCUCUGGAUCCAUGGUGAAGCAGAGCGCACAGAGAAGUUGACCUCUGAGAGCCAAC